rnacentral:lncRNA from 1 species
CUCGCACCACAUGGGGGAACUUUUCCCCCCAGUGACCAGGUCCACCUCCCCUUCCCCAGAAGAGCUGACAGUGGCCUCUUACAGGGCAGCGUCCCCCAUCACGAGGCAGACAGAAUGUAGGGCUCAGACUGGCUGUUCCGGCUAAAUGGGAAGAAGCCAAGCUGGCAGCACAAAUUCCCAGGAAGGAGUGAACCCCAGGAGGCCCAAUACGUGCAUAAACGUAAAGGCAUAUUUUUAAAAUCUAAAAGUAUUGACUAUUAAAAACCAAUAUCGAAGUAGUGCCUCUAGGGAUUCAUAAUAUAUGGGGAAAUAAAAAUAUGACAUGAGAAGGAUCAAAAUAUUCCAUCCCAAAUAUAUUACUUUGGUGUGUUUUGAG